rnacentral:lncRNA from 1 species
AAAGAGAGGUCACACCCAAAUUGGAUCAAAAGUUUGAUCAAGCCAUCAUCAAAAUCAAUCAUCCAUUUUGGUGGAUUGUGGUUUUCACCCCAUCACCACCCAAGAUCCAUUGAGUUUGAUGAGACUCAUGAUCCGAACUAUCAUGAUACAAGGCCAACAUAAGUUCACAAAGGUCACACAGAUAUAAAAUGCAAUUAAAUGAAAUAAAAAUGCACCAAAAGUAUUUUUAAAUGAAUUUUAAAAUAGAAAUAAAGUGAAAAAUCCAUAAAGUCCUUCAAAACACCAAAUAAAUGGCCAAGAAAAUUAUGGAGGUUGGAAAUAAAAUAAGAAGCAUAUAAUAAAAUUUUCAGAAAUUAAAAAUGCAGAAAAAUAUUUUUAAACCAAUUAAAACAAAGGAGAAAAGAGAAAAUUCAUGAAAAAUAGAAAAUCAGUGAAAUAAAAUAUGGAAAAAUGAAAAUCAGAUGAAGAAAUAAAAGAGAAUUUUAGAAAUUAUUGAGAUUUUUUGGAUAAAAAAUGAAAUUACUAUAAAUUUUAAAAGAAAAAGCAAUUUAAAAUAAUAAAUGAAAAAGAAUAAAAAUCAUAAAAAAAACACGGAGCGUUGGAUCACACCUUAUUAAUUGACGUGGCAGAUCCAACACUCCCCAGAUUAGGAUGCACGAUGGAACGCGCUAAAAAC